rnacentral:rRNA from 1 species
UGGGGAAUAUUGCACAAUGGGGGAAACCCUGAUGCAGCGACGCCGCGUGAGUGAAGAAGUAUUUCGGUAUGUAAAGCUCUAUCAGCAGGGAAGAAAAUGACGGUACCUGACUAAGAAGCCCCGGCUAACUACGUGCCAGCAGCCGCGGUAAUACGUAGGGGGCAAGCGUUAUCCGGAUUUACUGGGUGUAAAGGGAGCGUAGACGGCGCGGCAAGUCUGAAGUGAAAGGCAGGGGCUUAACCCCUGAACUGCUUUGGAAACUGCCAUGCUAGAGUGCUGGAGAGGUAAGUGGAAUUCCUAGUGUAGCGGUGAAAUGCGUAGAUAUUAGGAGGAACACCAGUGGCGAAGGCGGCUUACUGGACAGUAACUGACGUUGAGGCUCGAAAGCGUGGGGAGCAAACAGGA